UCUGAAUUCUCCUGAGAAUAAUAAUAAUGAUUUCCUCUCUUCCUCUCUCCCAGGUGGUCAGGCUUGUAUUUAUAGUCCUCUAGGAAGCACCACAACCCUCAGAUCAAACCGAUCUUGAUAGAUGGCUAAGAUUACUCCUCAACGGUGGUGGAGGUAGGAUCUAUGAGGUUGCACCUGAUUGGUGGAACUACCCGGGUGUCCAGCUGCUAGGUGGGCCCCACAUUGCAGGGUUGCAUUCUCAUGUCUUAUAGAGUAUUCCUGAGAUACCGAUGUGGUCUUCUCUCUAUGUAAAUCCGACAUGUGGACCUCCUUUUGUUCUUAUUCUGAUAACCCCCUUUAGAAAUAGAGAAUCACCAAAACUCAUGGAAUUAUAUUAAUUUAAACUCUAAAGCUAGAUGAUAUUCUAGUUUAUGUCCUUUCUCAUGCUAUGUUGAUAGUUAAAAAGUGGACUUAUCUACCAUCAACAAACUCCUCCAAUCUCACCUUUUGCUCAUCCCUGAGCAAAGAUAGACUCAGUGAUGGAUCAAGAGUUGCUAUAAUGCUUUCACACCUCACAAGUACACAUGCAUUCAAACAAGGACUCUCCGCCAGUUUAGAGUGAACUAUUCUAUAUCAUGACUCACCUAUAUUACCUUUUACCAUGGGGCUUGUAGCUAUCACUUAAGUCUUGAGCAGUUGAAAGACAGAACGGUUAAGUCGGUCACUAUGUUUCUCGCCAUUUGAUCAACUAUCAUUCCAGAGUUUUUGCAAGAUUUUCAAAUAAAACAUAGAGUUUCCUUGUAUGACCCAUUCAAGUCUCUCAUAUGUGGUAUUUUUUGGAUUCUCUCCAAGGCAAGUGUAAAGUAUGCCUUCUCUCUUCUCUCACAAUAUGUGGUAUAUGUAGGACUAAGGCAUAGUUGCCUUCUCUCUCUCACCCUACUUCUAAUAGGCUUAUGUGGAGCUUAUAGGUGGGGGAGACAAUUCAAACCUACUUGCAUGUAUUGCAUAGUUCAAUUGUGGAUCCAAAGAAACUAGUUAUACAAUCAAGUCAUAUGUGCACGUGAGUGCAGUAGAUGAAAUGAGUGAUAAGAAUGAUGGCGAUAAUAAGGGGUGAUGACUGAUGGCGAAAAUCUAAUUCUAUAAUUGAUCCUUGGGGAUAACAUACCUUCCUAAUCUAAAAAAAACUUGGCUACUUUUUCUUUCUUUUGGGACUUUUUUCCUCUUUCUUUCUUUCUUUCUUUCUUUCUUUCUUCUUUUUUAAUAGUCAAUCCUAUUAAUGCACUAAUACCAAUAGGGAGUAUCAACUAAAAUAACUAGAGCUUUAUUGGAUAAGUAGAAAAGACAUAAUGGCAAUGAAUAUUUUUGGUUGUCCUCUCCCAGUGUAGGAGUAGAACAUUUUCUAAGUGGAUAAGGAAUAUGUAUAGAUGGAUGAAUACAUACUCCUAGGGUAGGAGUAGCAUAGGUGUGCGUCUCUAAGAUAGAAACAACACAGAGUGUAGUGCGUAUAUGUGGGUGGUACUUCUAGGAGCAGAAGUAGCACAGUGAGAAUGUGUAGUGGAUGUAAGUGGUUUCUUACCUCUGAGGAUAGAAAUAGCUAAGAUCAUGGAUGGAGAGCACAUAGUAUUGACUUUAACUGCACGACUAGUUCCUUGGAUUCAACACAACUUAACUACCCUCAAUGCUUAUAGGAUGAAAUAUAAAUGGGAGGCUUUCCUAAUCUAGUAAGCAUGAGUAUUUGGCUAUGGUAGGAAGUUUAAAAUCUCACCAUAAAGGAACUCAUCAUGUAGCAAUUUAAGAUUUUUAAAUUAAAUUCCCCGAAACUCUAGCAUUUCUAGGAACAAGAUGAAUAGCAGCUCAAAACCUUCCCGUAUCAUAUCCGUCAACUACCUAGACUUAGAUCAAGCAUUCUCUACCCACAAGUUUUAGGAUCAGAACAAAUCUUAAGUAUAAACAACUGUGUCCAAAACUUGGCAGAGUAUAGUGUUGAAAACUAGGUACUUGCAAAAAAUUAUAGCAGAGCAACUAUUCAUCACCUCCAUAUAAGAGUGUGUUCUAGAGGUUUAUUUUAGUAACAAAUUCAUUAAGCUCUCCUCAGCUAGCAAGACUAAUUAUGAAAGAUAAAUAAAGGAAAUUUUAUUGGGUUUCUAAGGUUAUUCAUAUUUUUAGUUUUAUCGUAACACACUGGGAAUAAAUAGAUGAGUGAAGAAUACUUAGCUUUGUAUACGGGGGUUGCUCUCCCCCAAGCUAGAUGUUGACAUGGUCUGCUGAGAUUGCUAAUGGGCAGUGAAGGCAUACUGAUCUUCCUAGAGUGUCGUGGGUACUUGCUGUUAGAAACAACACUUGACUCAUGUGCACUGUACUCCGAUAGGGGAUAGAACAUCCUUCUUCCUGUUGGCUCUUCUUGAUCCUUUGAAGCCUCUGAAGCUCAAAUAGACAACAAAGAUAAUGGAACUGAUUAAGCAUUAGUGAGAAACCUCUAACCUUCGGGUGUCUAGAACUCUCUUAUACCCAUUUAUCUUUUAGCAGGAUCAAUAUAUAUUUAUGCUUUUUUGUAAUUAUAGUAUGCAUAUAGGAAAUAAAAUAAGCUGAAAUUUAUUUUUAUGCCACUAUAGUCGAUGAGUGUGUGAGCUGUUGCAUCACACAUUAAAUACAUG
rnacentral:lncRNA from 1 species